CGUCGAGCGGCGAACGGGUGAGUAACACGUGGAUAACCUGCCCAGAGGUGGGGGAUAACCCGGGGAAACUCGGGCUAAUACCGCAUGAUACCGAGAGGUCAAAGGGGGCUCGCAAGGGCUCUCGCCAUUAGAGGGGUCCGCGUCCGAUUAGCUAGUUGGUAGGGUAAUGGCCUACCAAGGCGACGAUCGGUAGCCGGCCUGAGAGGGUGAUCGGCCACACUGGAACUGAGACACGGUCCAG
rnacentral:rRNA from 1 species